GGGAAUCUACCCUGAACUGCGGGAUAGCUCCGGGAAACUGGAAUUAAUACCGCAUAUGCCCUGAGGGGCAAAGGUUGAUCUGGUUCAGGAUGAGCCCGCGUCCGAUUAGCUAGUUGGUGGGGUAAAGGCCUACCAAGGCGACGAUCGGUAGCUGGUCUAAGAGGAUGAUCAGCCACAUUGGGACUGAGGCACGGCCCAAACUCCUACGGGAGGCAGCAGUGGGGAAUAUUGGACAAUGGGCGCAAGCCUGAUCCAGCCAUGCCGCGUGAGUGAUGAAGGCCCUAGGGUUGUAAAGCUCUUUCAGUGGGGACGAUAAUGACGGUACCCACAGAAGAAGCCCCGGCUAACUUCGUGCCAGCAGCCGCGGUAAUACGAAGGGGGCUAGCGUUGUUCGGAAUUACUGGGCGUAAAGCGCACGUAGGCGGACAUUUAAGUCAGGGGUGAAAUCCCGGGGCUCAACCCCGGAACGGCCUUUGAUACUGGGUGUCUUGAGUGUGGUAGAGGUGAGUGGAAUUGCGAGU
rnacentral:rRNA from 1 species